AUGGCUCAGGAUGAACGCUGGCGGCGUGCUUAACACAUGCAAGUCGAACGGGCCUUAAGGAGGCAGAGGCUACGGCCGAAGCGCCAUAAGGUUAGUGGCGGACGGGUGAGUAACGCGUGGAGAACCUGCCCUGUACUGGGGGAUAACAGCGGGAAACCGCUGCUAAUACCGCAUAAGCGCACGGAGCCGCAUGGCCCUGUGUGAAAAACUGAGGUGGUACAGGAUGGCUCCGCGUUGGAUUAGCUAGUUGGCGGGGUAACGGCCCACCAAGGCGACGAUCCAUAGCCGGCCUGAGAGGGUGGACGGCCACAUUGGGACUGAGACACGGCCCAGACUCCUACGGGAGGCAGCAGUGGGGAAUAUUGCACAAUGGGGGGAACCCUGAUGCAGCGACGCCGCGUGGGUGAAGGAGUGCUUCGGCAUGUAAAGCCCAAUCAACGGGGAAGACAAUGACGGUACCCGAGCAGAAGCCCCGGCUAACUACGUGCCAGCCGCCGC
rnacentral:rRNA from 1 species